CAGGGUACUUUUAAAGCCUCUUUGUCUAAUUCGUGGGUGGUGGUAUAGUGUAUUGGCUGGUUUAUUUGUCUUUCUUCAAAACAUAAUCUAAGCUGUGACUUCCCUGACUCAGAUUUUGCACCUCAAGCCACGUGGACAGAAGGCACUGCCCAGUAGCCUUUGCUCACUUAUUUGGCAAACUCCUGAAAUGCACCUGCUGAUACCAGGCAAUUAUUUGGAUGGCUUUAAACAAGUGUGGAGCUAGACACAGUGAGAGCUAAAACUUGUGCCCUGAUGGUCCCCCUGUACCUACCAACUGAAGGAGAGAGUGAGCAGAAAAGCCAGCCCUACAUCUGCAAUAGCAGCUCUGGGCUAUUCAUCACUAACACCAGCAACAAAUGCAAAAUUCCCAAUCAGAAGUGAAGCCCUAUCACCUCCUGGGUUUCUUUUCCCUGCUGUCAUAAGCAGAGCUUUAGACUGAACAAAAAGGAAAGCUUGUGAUACAAGCUGUAAAAUUUCACAUCACUGUCACAUCCAAUGAAUUUAGAGAGAAGCAUCUCUGGGCUGCAGUGUACUGUGAGAAAGUUGCCAGGAAACAAAGUAUUCCUCCUGUUCUCUCUCAUAUUUCUCUAACCUGGUUUUCCUUUCCCUGUUCCCAUUCAUCAGAUGCAAUGGUUGUCCAUCUUAUUUUGUACUACAAUAUUUUGACAGACUAAAGGUUUUGAUAGUCAGAUGGUAACUAGGUUUACUAGUUCUCAAUUGCAAAAGAAAAUAAAUCCCAGAACAGCCAGCAUUUCUUGUACUUGUCUCUUUUUCCUCAAUUUCUUUUAUUUGCCAAGCAUAAAACAAAGACUGAAACUAGAUUAAGUAAUUUUCACCGUUUGUUCCAGCAGAGCAACAGCAAGUUAUGAUGCUUUCUCUCACUUCCUAAAUACCCAGAAGACAGGAUUUGGUUUUUAUGAUUUGUUGUUGUUGAUUAGGGUUUUUCUUAAAACAAGAAUUAAAAUCUGAAGGAUUAAUUUGAACAAAGAGCUUUCCAAAACAGAAACAGUUAUUGUAAGGUUAGCUGCAGAGAAUCCUGACAAAGAUCAGGGAAACUGGAUGCACUGACUACAGCAGCUCAUCUCUUGACUGAAAUCUAGGCCAGAAACAGAAAACUGCAAUCUUCUAAUUAGACUGCUACUUUUGCAACAAAACCAUCCCACGCUGGUGCUCACUAAACAGCCAAGUCUGUCCACACCAACCGAAUGAAAUAAAUUUCUAAUACCUGAGGAAAUAAACAGAGGACAGGGGAAAUCUCUUCCUAUUAAUUUCUCAGCUAAUUGGGGGGGAUCAGCUUUACUGGAAACAUUUUUGCAGUAACAGGUAUGGCUUAGUACAUGAUUUAUUGUGAUGCAAGGGAAUGCACAUCUAAGUUUGCACCAAGAAUUAAGUCCAAUAUUAUGGGAUAAUUAAUGUGACAUUGACAGAGCAGCUUGCUGUGUGCACACAUUACUUAGCAAGCCUGAAAUACAUUUGUCCCUUUCUGAUAAGCAGCUCUGCAAUAAAUCACAGAAGAAUUUUCGUAUAAUUCUGCAAACUACAACUUAAGGACUGACAGCAUUAAAUCAGGUCACCUCCAGCUCCCAGGAUCCAGGCAGUUUUCCUGAACUGGGCAUGGCCCCUUUUGGAAUUUAACCAUGGCAGGCACCCAGGCCUAAACACAGCAAAACGUGGCACCACACAGGCUACCACAAGGACAAUUCCCUCUGUCCAGCCCAAAGCAGCACAACCCCACACACACACGAUGGCAACACCUGCCAAACAAGGUUGCUUCAGUUCUGAAACCUCAAUCGCUGACACCUCCCACAACAGGAGAGACAGGCUCAAGGAAACCAAGCUCACCUGUACUCAAAUGACAGACUUUGGGGGAUUUUUUUUUGUGUGUGUGUGAGAAAUGAUGCUCUGUAGUCUGAAAAAGAAACCAUGAAAACACAUGCAUGGAAACAUUGCUUUCUUUUUGGAAUUUACAGAUGACUUUUCAGUAAGCUGCCUUUCAGCAUCAAAUCCUUAGACUCAAAAACUAGUGAGGUGCUGGAGUCUUAGGAAGCUUUUAAAAGAAUAAAAACCAACAAAACAAACCAAACCCUCAGCUAGAAAAUAAAACAAGCUGCAUCAGUUCUAGAGGGUAAAAUAAGACACAUCUGCCUGGGGUGAGCACUGUGAGAACAGUCUCUGUCACUCCUUAGAGCAGGGUUAAUCAGGACUUGUCACCAGAAUCACUCCUCAAUCAGUACUGAAGUGCCACGUGCAACACAGACCAUGCGGAGGAGAAUGAACAAAUGCUGGAGAACAUCAGAGAGCUGCUGUGUUGAGCUGCCUGGAAGGCUCAGGUCUUGGUUAGCUCUGAGCAAGAUCACACCGAGUCUGCUCCUAAGCAAGCACAAGUUUGGGUGUGCUUGUGGUUGCUGCGCUCCGCUCGGGUUCAGCUCUGACCUACACACAGCGCAGAAGGUAAAGUUGAGUUUGUCACACCUUGUACCUCCCUGAACUCCCCCAGACAAACCACUGCCACCGCAGGCGCUGUUCCCGGCGCCGUGUGCCCGGCACAGGAAGCCCAGGGCCGGGGCCCAGCAGGAAGCAGGGCCCUGCAGCAGGCUCGGAGCCCCGCAGAGCCCCCGCCGAGCCCCGGGGGAUUCAGGAGCCGGCAGGAACCGGGAACAGCCCCGCCGCUCCCGCUGAAAUGAGGGAGGGUCUUACAGGAAAAACUUCUGCAGGACCAACAGAAUCAAGCAGAGCUGCACCUACACUGCACAGUAAGAGAUCAGCUCACAGCUCCCACCUGGAUGUGUGUCAGUGCUUCAGUUCAACACCUGUGUGACUUGGCAAUAAGGUUCUCGAAAAUGAUCUGCACAACCUCCUAUUUACCCCUGAGCAAGGAUUCUCACAGAGGCAGUUCCUGAUGCAAGCCAGCCACAACCUGCUCUUCCCCACUCUCUCCAGAUUCUGAAGUAGCAGAGAGCAGAAAAUGAGACAUAUGGCUCCAGAGAGGAGGCCCUGGCUGCCAGCACAGACUGCCACAUCAGCAACAGGAGAGCCCCUAGGGAUGCACCUGGACUCCCAGGAGGGGACCUGGCCUCAGGCUUUCCGCUGCAGGCUCCAGGUGUAAACCCGGGAGCUGGAAGAGGCACUUCCCUCCCGCAUUUUGGGCGGGCAGCAGGGGAGGUGGUCCAGCCGCACGAUGACAGAUUAUGCAAAUACUCGCGGAGCACGGGAUCGAUCGGGGCGGCGGGAGAGGAUCGCGGCUCAUCUCCGAACCAGCCUCCGCCGCGGCUCCUCGCCGAGCAUCGCCCCUCGGCCGGAAUGACAUCAGAGCAGCUCCGAGCCCUUGCAAGUCUGCGGGCUGAGUAGCGGCAGCGAUCGGCCGCUGCUGCCAAGCACAGCCCUGCGAAGCCGCCUCGCUGCUCCCGGAGAUCCGCGGGAGCCGGAGGCUGACUCCGGCACUCGGGAGCGCGGCGCCGGCGGCAGGACCGCGAGCAGCGGCUCCCGGGCCGAUUCCAGAGCUCUCGCAGCCUUUCUGCCGGAGCCUGGCGGCUCCCCGGCGUAAUCCCCGUGCCCAAGAAGGAAGCUGCACUGGGAACGCUGUGCUGAGCAGAGGUUUGCAUCGUUCCAGCUGGCUGCUCGCUCUGAAAGGACAGGCCGGGUACAAACGAGAUGUGACUGUGCCGGUGGAGUUCGGUGACUGGGGCCGGAGCAGGAAGAGCCUUCCUGGGAUGCUGCUGAGAGCUGCUGGCAAUGGAGAACUCUGCCUGGUUCACCUGGAGCCCUGUGAAGAGCUUGGAAUAGCAGGCGUCUCUUGGCUGCACGCGCUAGGAAGAGAAAUUCUAUUGCUCAGCUUCUCAACCUCUGCUUCUGGGCAUACAUUCAUACAAGCACGCAGACAGUGCCUAUACUCACAGCAGGUACAAAUACCCAGAGUGUGUCCAAUGAUCUGACUGGAACCUCUGCACAGUAAGUGCUUCUGAAAGCUGCCUGGAGCCUGGCAUUCCAAGGAUUAUUUGCAAGUUUGACAUAGUCUUUGCCACCUUUGCAUGCAAGUGCCCCUGAUGCCAAGGGAUGUUGUUCCCGAGGGAAACAGCUGUCUGCCUACAUGUAUGAACCACAGAAGGGAGAGCACGGGAAGUUAGGUGAGAGGGAAAAGAGGAUACAGCUGCUGCUUUAGUCUGCUCCACAUCCUUUGCUUAGAUUUGCUACCAUCCAGCAAAGUUCAGCAGAACUACUGCACUAAAAUGACAUGGUAGAGGCUUUCCAUGGAGAUACAUUAAAUAUGCACCAAAGUAAGAGUAAUUGUACUGCGAGGAAGCCAAAACCUACAGUUCUGCUCUCUUCCAGCAGUUUGAUAGCAAACUACAUCUGUCAGAAACUUAUUUUUUUUAAACAUCAUGAUCAUUUAUAGAAUGGAAGCAAGGAUUGUUAGAGGUAGUAAGAGCUAAACUGAAGAAAUCAGUGUGGGCUCUUCAGAUGCUCCAGAGCCCAGUCCAGCAGCAGCCCAGGGGUUUUACCCCACAGCCGGCACAGGGGCUCCAAGUCACUGCUGCUGGGAAUGAACGCUCACAGGAGAAUGCUCAGAGGUGAAGAAGUCUCUUCCCACGAGCACUGCACUGUCCUAACCACACGUACCAACAAAACCCCACACUCAGGAAGUUCUCUUUCCCCCAGGGAAUUUACCAGGUCAUUUUUACUAGCUCCUGUUAGUAAAACAUGAGUUUUCCACAUUCUCAUUCACAUUGGUUGCAGCCUCCCUCCUUCUCUCUGUGUGAAUCCAUGCUGCAGAAUCUGGCCUACCCCUGUAGCAGGUGACUCGACCUCUCAAUGCUCUCAGAGAACAAGAUAAAAAAAGAACUCAUUUUCAACCCAUUUCUUUAGUAGUUGGAACCAUGAUCCUCCUUCCAUAAAUGCUCAGCCUGUGGAAGGACAGCAAGAUCUCCUUGUUCAUAAAAUCUCAAUAGUUGGCCAUGUUUCCAGGUGCUCCCUGUCUUGCCCCAUCCUAUCUGAGCACUCUCCCCAUGCCUUUUCCCCUCCCUUAAGCUGCACUGCCUACCUUGCUUUUGGGAAUGCUGCUCUAAAGGAGGGGCUGGGGGCGGGCUGUGAACUGCCAAGUCCAUUUAACUAAGGAAAUUCUUGGCUUCGAGUUCUCUCCUGAAUCUGAACAAUCAGACCCUAUGAUCUGCCCAGUUGGGUUAGAUGUCCCUCAAGCCAUUGCUCUGUGCACAAGUAGAGUAAAUCCAAUUCAAAGGGUUACAUUUCAGCAGAGAUGCUUCAGUGACUGACCAACUUGCACACACACACCCACCCUCCCCCCCUCCACACACACCCACAUAUAAACCCUUUUCAGCCUGAACACCCUCUUAACUCACACUAGCAAGUUCUGCAAGCCCUAUCAAAACUUCAUGGGUGUUUAGAGGCUGUGAUAUCUGCUGUAUCACUCCCUGUAGUGGCCACAAUCAGACUUAGCACCGUGCAGGAAUCAUGAGCUGCUCUAGAGUUCAACUACCAUAUUCACUAUGAGCAGGAAAAAAAUAUGCCAAUAGUAAAGACGGGGUUUUUUAGGGUUGCAGUACAGGAAUUCUCAGCAGUAUAAUGAGACAGUUCAAGGAAAAUGUAGCCAUAUAUGGCAAACCCACAGCUAUACUGAGCACAGAAAAUGCUGAUGAGUUACUAUUAGUUCUGACUAUGACUUUUCAGUUAGGUAAACAAAAAAUUGCAUUCAACUCCAUGUCCCCAGAAGAAGAUUCAUCUGUUCUCCACAAGCUGUAAAGGAAGCCAUAUAAUGAACUUCUACAAAAAAAAAAAAAAAAAAAAAGAAAGAAAAAAAAAAGAGUAUAAUUUCUGUUCCAAGUCACUCUGAUUUGCCUACAAACAAUUCUGCUUUGAUUGCCUCCAUGACCAUAGGGCUAGGUGAGCUUCAGCUGCACGAAUCCUCUGCUGUUUGCUUCCAUCAAGUUUGCCUUGCAAAGCUGUUAGACAGUCUGACACAAAGCCCUAAAAAUCUUAGGGUUAAAUCUAAUCUUAGGGUUUAAUCUAUCUUGAGACAAUAGAGUUGUUCCUCACUGCAUUUUCCUUCUGCCUCUUACCCUAAGAUGUGCUUCUAUUUUUCCCUUCACUGAUGUCAAUUUUCCUUAAUCACUUGAGAUUCUGGUUUAGAUUUAGGUUUUCACCACAGAGAAAAACAGCAAUCAAAUACUGAGGUUUUAUUUGUCUUGGUUAAGGAAUUUAGCAUCUGUGAAAGUAGCACCAAUAAUUCCUAUUAAUUUUUUCCAUGUACAUCUGUAAUGUUGCCAGCUAACUCUUAAUAACAGCAAUCUUGUUACACUAAUCACCAGUCUCUCUGGAAGAUCUCAUCACUGCUGACAAAAUCCUAUCAUGUCUUAUAAACUCCUCCAAAUCCGCCAGGAGCCUUUCUGGGAAGAUCAAUUUGUUUCUUCCUGGUGAACAAUGGAACCAAAACCACCUACAGGAAGGACAGCUACUCACUUGGUCUUUCCUCUGCUGUCCUUCCCCUCUCUGACACACUCUCACCAAGUGCUCCAAGCCACAGGGCUGUAGCAGUGUGCGUGCACUGAGAACACCACAAGGGCUCCUGGUGCUCGCACUGCGAGUUUGCCAAGCGGAGACAGAGCAGCACCAGCAGCUGUAAUGACCUGGGAGCCUUUGUCCCUUUUCUCCUCUGCUUCUUUUUAUUAGCUCAUCCCUCCUUCUGCUACUAACUUUCCCAUAUCACUGGCAUCACGGAUGUUAUCGUUUCUCUUCUACUCUACUCCCAGUUGAUUUGAUUUUGCUUCUUUUCUUUACUUACAAAUUACUGCCUUAGGGGAAAGAAAUGUUCUUACCCUCUGAGCCAGUCUGAUCUAUUUUGGUGCAGUGGUUGCUCAUUUAUUAAAUCAAGUUCUCACCUUGCUGUGACUGCUCCUUCUAAGUUUUUGAUUUCCACAAAGCUGUUGUUUACUACUGUGAGUAACACAGAACAUGACCAUAGUCAGCAGCAGGACUGGAUCAAACAGCUGACAAGCCUUUACUCUCACAUCCUGGUCAGCUGGAGGCCCAAUUCGGUACCACAGUGGAAGGCACAGAGUAUGGGAGAGAAUGGGAGCUAGAGAAUGGGAGCACUUGACAGGGAAAGUCACUACAGGUUUUACCUUUCAUGUUCAGAGGUAGGAAACAUCCAAAGCGUAGCAGCUUCAUUAGAUCAGCAAAUCUCAAACACUUUUUCACAUGCGGGCUCUCUAAUCUGCCCCUGAGGUAGCCUAACUCUGAUUUCACUUCCCAUCCUAGGGGAUGGGAACCUUCUCUGCCUCUCCAGAAACCACAGCACCAAUGGCCUGGAGACUAAGAGUUUGCACCUUUGACAGCUUCUUGGUUAGCAUCUUCUUCAUUCUGGAUCUAACUUCCACUGAUUCCAUGUCAGCUUAUUUCUGCUUUCAUCCAUGAACUAAACAAAACAGACUAACCUGAUGGAAAAAGUAAAGUAAACACCCAAAAAGUAAUGAGAUUUGAGGAGGAAUCUCAUGAAAAUUUAUUUCCAUCCUUUCAGCUCUAAAAAUCUAUUCUCUCUCACACAACCAAGUACAUUUUCUAGCAAAAUUAAUGUAACAGAAUUAAGCAUUCUCAACACAAGACAAACCUGUUGAUCAACAGUUCAAAGACUUUCUAAGGAAUAACAAGGUGCAGGACAUGGCAUGCACCCUAAAAUGAAGAAAACAUGAACCAAAAGCCAAAACAAGAAUGAAGAGUUCUCAACUAAUCCGAUUUUGUCCAAGCUCUGUAAAGUGCAGCAAACCUCAAUAGCACGGUCUGUGGACAAGGCCAGGGGUAAAACUGUAACAGGCAUAGGUGUAAUUGUGCUACCAAUAAUUUCAUUAGCUUAACUAACACAGUCAGCCAACAGCAGAACCGAGUAAAGAAACACAGACUGGCUGUUUUGCUCCUGGAAAGGCACGGGGGCUGGGAGGGAGCAGCACAGCUCACCGACUCCUCCACCACUGCCAUCAUAGCAGCUGCUCUCGCACACUAUGUGAGGCUGGAGGUGUGCAAGGUGUGUGUCUGAGCACAUCACACCUGCUACACGCCACAGGUGGCAAACUCUGCACAACCCGUGCAGGGGCACAAAGGCAGUGUGAUGCGCGUCACCGAUCCAGGAACACACGGCAGAAACGCCCCUGCAUUUGGCCUCCCUUCCGAAAAUGGAAAGAGCAAGAGAAGGGACACGUCUCUUGCCCAUCUGCAGCACGCCACAGUACACUUAAUGAAAAGGUGAGCAUGUUGCUCUAGAGUCAGAAAUAACCCAACUCGUUAUAAUGCCACCAAUAUUUUGUAGGUGGCUCAACAGUAAACGACAGAGAUCUACACAGGCUGUUGUUUCUCCCACAAACUGCAAACAUCACCUUUUGGAUUGUAUUCGAGCUGCUCAAACAGUCCCUGGUCUGGAUUUAGGUCUUUCAUAAACUGUACUUCAGGUGGGAGCUCAGCAGACAGUCUGUCCGGAGGAUACAGUCUUGUUUGAAAUCCAAAACACUGUAAUUCCCUACUAGCUGAUCUACACUUAGGAGAAAACUGAACGUAGUUUGGGUGUUCCAAACUUCGUCUCCAUUUCAAGUGGCACUUGACAUUUUCUACAUGAAGAAUGGAAUAAAGCGAAUGCUGAAGGACUUGUGAGCUUUCUUAGGCUUGAUAAGCACUACUUGAAUUUGGGCUACUUGGCCUGGUUUGGGCUGGGAUCAAGUUAAUUUUCUUCCUAGUAGCUGGUGCAGUGCUGUGUUUUGGAUUUAGGGUUAUGAUUAGCCAAACUCCGUGUGGUGUAUGCCAACAAUGUUUGCCUUUUCUAUGCAAAAAACCCCAGAACUCUCACUUUGGAUUAGCUGGCUGGUUCUUGGUCUACUAUUCCAGUCUUAAUUUAGAGUAGUUCUACUAAGUGUUCCAAAUACUCCACCUGCCUGCUGCAGUGUUUAGACACGUCAAGUUGUACAUGUAUUUCUUUCCAGCCUCAUGUUUGGCAUGCACCAAGACAAAUUCUUGAAAACAACUAAAUAUCCACAAAAUAUCUUGUAGUAGCCCUAAGAGCAAAGCUUGCUGUUGGUUUUCACAUCUCUGGUAACAUUAAGGGAAGUGUCCCUUUGGGGAGAAGGCUCAGCACAUGUCAAGAAACUGUGACACGGGAAACAAAUUCAGUGAGGGAGCCCAUUUAAUAAUACAGAAGAGACAUGCCAGGAUUUGAAUAUUGCUAAUUUAUCUUUCUUUGAGAAACCAAAACAAAGUGAGAAUGUUUUCAGAGCAAAGCUUUUCUGCAAUUUCCUUUUUGGUUUUCGCUCACUGCAAACCUGAACUUUGUAAGGUCCUGCCCAGAUCCCCACAGUAAAGCAAAACACAUACUUGGCAAAAUAAAAUGGAAAACACAAGGAUGUAACUGCAGAUAUUGCAAGAUAAAAUAGAUCAAUACAAAAAAAAUUUUUUACUUUAAACUACAGCCCAGUAAAACUUUUAAGAGGCACCAAAACUUCCUCCGUUCUGAAAUUCCAAGUGACAUCUCCAGCUCCAAAUGUAAAGAUUUACUUGUCAGUUCAUACAGGUGCAGAAACACACAGGGAAGAGAAAAAGAACAGAAGAAGGACCCAAAGACAGAGUAAGCAGCAAAGGAAGUGACUGAAUAACAACCUUGGGUGGUUUCCUUCAGAAAAGCCAACUACAAGGUGACAGUAGGGGGAAUCUGAGCAAACAGCCUGAAAUGCAUUGGCAAGAUCACUCAUGUAUUUGAGCAGAGACAAGGACAAGGUCUGAGAAAGAUUUGAAUUAAGUAAAACAAGCCCUUAAAAAUGACCCAGACACAGGCAGACAGCCCUAGGAAGGCAAGCAGAAAACAAGUGUGGUCCUUCAUGCCAGGGAGUCCAUUUGCUGCUGCUCCCUAGGUCAGCUGCAGCUAUGGACAGCCACAAAUUAAUGCCUUGUUAAGAAUUCAUAUUCAAGUGCUCGUUCUAAGUGCACAGAAUGGGCACCGUGGCUCAGCAGAUGCCACAGAUGCUAUAAACUCUACAGUGAGAAAAAUGGUGCCCUAUCUGAGGCUCCCUGACAUUUUCUGUAGGCAGAAUUGUGAGUAAUGCCCGCUUCCCACACAUUGUUGACUCAAGCCAGCUGCAUGGUCCCACAUUUUGGGGCUGCCAGUGCAGUCUGCUGAGGGGCACAAUCCCAUCGCAGCAGUGAUGUCAUCUCUGUGAUCAAAUGAGAGCUGCUUUCUUCCAGGACAGAAAAACCAGGAGCAGCAUUUCCAGCAUUACAUAAAACAGAACUGCACAAUACACAUCACAGCUCCACAGAAGAAUUCAUCGUUUGCUCUUCAAUUUGUGACUGCCAUGUAAAGGUAGCUGGUAAAUAGGUGAUUAUUUUUAUAUUACUGCCUUGAAGGCACUGAUUAUCUGUCGCUUACUAAGUUGUUCUGCUACUCCUUUUGCUCUUCCUUGUAGAUGAUGAACAGCUCUAGAGUUCACUGCAAGCCAGGCUCCCCACACUGCACCAACUCAGCAGCUGCUGCUGCCAGACCCAUGUCCUGGCACCGCUAGAACAGGCCCAUGGCACGAUUACUGGGUUCCUGCAGCAUA